rnacentral:rRNA from 1 species
GGCGGACGGGCGAGUAACGCGUGAGAACAUGCCCUUAGGUUCGGGACAACAGUUGGAAACGGCUGCUAAUACCGAAUGUGCCGAGAGGUGAAAGAUUAAUUGCCUAGGGAUUGGCUCGCGUCAGAUUAGCUAGUUGGUGAAGUAAUGGUUUACCAAGGCGACGAUCUGUAACUGGUCUGAGAGGAUGACCAGUCACACUGGGACUGAGACACGGCCCAG